rnacentral:rRNA from 1 species
AUCAACUUUCGAUGGUAGGAUAGAGGCCUACCAUGGUGGUAACGGGUAACGGGGUGUUAGGGCACGACACCGGAGAGGGAGCCUGAGAAACGGCUACCACAUCCAAGGAUGGCAGCAGGCGCGCAAAUUACCCAAUCCCGACACGGGGAGGUAGUGACAAUAAAUAACAAUACGGGGCUCUUUCGGGUCUCGUAAUUGGAGUGAGUACAAUUUAAAUCCCUUAACGAGGAACAAUUGGAGGGCAAGUCUGGUGCCAGCAGCCGCGGUAAUUCCAGCUCCAAUAGCGUAUAUUAAAGUUGUUGCAGUUAAAAAGCUCGUAGUUGAAUUUCGGGAUUGACACAUCGGUCGUGCCUUAAGGGGUAUGAACUGGUGUAGUCAAUUUCUCACCUUCUGGAGAACCGCAAUGCCCUUAAUUGGGUGUCGCGGGGAACCAGGACCUUUACUUUGAAAAAAUUAGAGUGUUUAAAGCAGGCAUUUUGCUUGAAUACAUUAGCAUGGAAUAAUAAAAUAGGACGGCAUGAUUCUAUUUUGUUGGUUUCUAAGAUUGACGUAAUGAUUAAUAGGGAUAGUUGGGGGCAUUAGUAUUCAAUUGUCAGAGGUGAAAUUCUUGGAUUUAUUGAAGACUAACUACUGCGAAAGCAUUUGCCAAGGAUGUUUUCAUUAAUCAAGAACGAAAGUUAGGGGAUCGAAGACGAUCAGAUACCGUCGUAGUCUUAACCAUAAACUAUGCCGACUAGGGAUCGGAUGAUGUUAAUUUUUUAAUGACUCAUUCGGCGCCUUACGGGAAACCAAAGUGUUUGGGUUC